GCAGUAUGUAGGAUAUGAAUAACACAUGUAGCCUGUCAUUUGUUUACAUUGCAAAGGUGUUCGAUUUUAGACAACAACAACUAAAACAGUAAUAAUAAUAUGAAUCACUAUAUUCCAGUGUAUCAGUUUUUUAUGUUUUGUAUCAAUAUUUAAGGUGGACUUAUUGAUUUGCACCAACCCUGUAAAGUUUGAGCAUAUUGUUUGCAAACUGCAAUUGAUUAAUUAAUUAAAAACAAACUAGUUGAUAUGCUUUGUUGUUUUUGUUGUUUAGUAGCAGUAAUAUGCAGUUAUUAGCCGUGUCCACUGUAUUUUUUGUUGGUUUUCAUGAGACCCCCCUUGAAAUUACCAGGACCCCCCAUUGCCCCCCCAAUCAAAAUUGUCUGGAGCCGCCACUACCCGGUAGGAGAAGUUAUCAGGGAAACUGAGGCUUGGUAAACUUUCAUGUGUUCAUAGGGAUCGAUUCCACCUACAACCUCUUUUUUUAAGUAGCGUUGUUUGGC